UAGGGAAUCUUCGGCAAUGGACGAAAGUCUGACCGAGCAACGCCGCGUGAGUGAAGAAGGUUUUCGAAUCGUAAAACUCUGUUGGUAGAGAAGAACGUUGGUGAGAGUGGAAAGCUCAUCAAGUGACGGUAACUUACCAGAAAGGGACGGCUAACUACGUGCCAG
rnacentral:rRNA from 1 species